AUCGAAUCUUGGCCUUUUGGCUAAGAUCCAAUGUAGUAUCUUUUCAUAUUGGUUUAAUAUCUGAUAUGUCCUCCAUCAUAGAAUAAUAUGUUUAAUGGAUUUCUGGAGCAGGGAGAUGGAAUAGGAGCUUGCUCUAUCCAUUCCAUGCAUUGAUGUGAUAUUGCAAUAUCUCCAGCAAUGGUGCACCCACU
ensembl:snRNA U2 U2 spliceosomal RNA